CUCUUCCUUCUUCUCUUCUUCUCCCUUUGCAUUCUUCCUUUCUUUUUCUACUUCUUGUUGCAUUUCCAACAGCUCCUCGAGGAGAGAAUGAGACGUUUGAACAAGAGAGAGAGAAGAAAAA
rnacentral:ribozyme from 13 species